AUGGCCGAGGACCGUGUGGCCUUCGCGAAGCUGGAGGAGAAGGCUCGCACCUCGCUGAAGACACUUUAUGACAGCGGCCUGGAGAGCCCGCUGGCCGGCACCGGGGACGGCCCCGCCAAGCUGCUUCCCUUCCUGGUCCGCGCCCUUGAAGAUGUUGCCCUCGGCCUCGGCCCCAUGGCUGAGGCUGAGGCGCGUGUCCUUUCUUCUGCAGCACUGACGCGCGUCUUCACCCACGUCUACCUCCGCGACCCCGGCAUUGACCUUGACAGCCUGGUGGAGCCUGUGAGCGGCGAGCUUGCUGCUGUCGCUGCUGAGGCCGUGAAGGGCCGAGCGGAGGCUCUGCUGGCGAAGUUCCGUGCUUUCAGCACCAAGCCAAGGCGAGGCGCUGCCGAUCCUGAGGCUCCACGAGGCGAAGUCGCCCAGCGCAGCUCCGCCACCAGCGAUGGCGCUGCCAGAAAGUGA
rnacentral:rRNA from 1 species